GGACGAACGCUGGCGGCACGCCUAACACAUGCAAGUCGAACGGAGAAUGCUUAGCUUGCUUGCAUUCUAGUGGCGGACGGGUGAGUAACACGUGAGCAACCUGCCUCUGAGAGAGGGAUAGCUUCCGGAAACGGAUGGUAAUACCUCAUAACAUAGAUGAGCCGCAUGACUUAUCUAUCAAAGAUUUAUCACUCAGAGAUGGGCUCGCGUCUGAUUAGCUAGUUGGUGAGGUAACGGCUCACCAAGGCGACGAUCAGUAGCCGGACUGAGAGGUUGAACGGCCACAUUGGGACUGAGACACGGCCCAGACUCCUACGGGAGGCAGCAGUGAGGGAUAUUGCACAAUGGAGGAAACUCUUGAUGCAGCGAUGCCGCGUGGAGGAAGAAGGUUUUCGGAUUGUAAACUCCUGUUUCGAGGGACGAUAGUGACGGUACCUCGGGAGGAAGCUCCGGCUAACUACGUGCCAGCCGCCGC
rnacentral:rRNA from 1 species